rnacentral:lncRNA from 1 species
GGUUAUGAACAUGCAUGGCGUGAGGCCUGACGACCUGAUAAAUAUGCAGCACUACAAUCUCCUCUGCUGGCCCAUGCACUACCAGAUGAAAUACCACUUCUACCAAGGCCUCUCCUGGCCCCAGCUCUCUUACAUUGCUGAGGAUGAGAAUGGAAGAUUGUGGGGUAUGUUCUGGCCACAAUGGAAGAGGGCUCAGAUGAUGUGCUCCAUGGACAUACCACCUUGCUGGCUGUGAAGCAGUCCCACCAGCGCCUUGGCCUGGCUCUGAGGCUAACACACGAGGCUUCUCAAGCUAUGGUAGAGAACUUCAGUGCCAAAUAUGUCCCCUGGGCCAUCCUGUACCUCUAUU